UAGAGUUUGAUCAUGGCUCAGGAUGAACGCUAGCGGGAGGCCUAAUACAUGCAAGUCGAGGGGUAACAGGGUCUUCGGACCGCUGACGACCGGCGCACGGGUGAGUAACGCGUACACAACCUACCUUUAAGAGGGGGAUAGCCUUUGGAAACGAAGAUUAAUACCCCAUGGUAUUAUGAUCCUGCAUGGGAUUAUAAUUA
rnacentral:rRNA from 1 species